UGCGCCCCGCACUCGAGGGCCGCUCCCGCCGCGUCCCCGAGCGCGGCUCCCUCGUGUGAGGGGCCCGGCGUUCCGCGGCCGCCCCUGCACCUGCCGCAGGGAACGAAGCGGGGCGGGCUGCGGCUUCCGGGCAGCCGGUGCUCUGCAGGAAAAUCCCUACUCCCCAGCACUGUCUGUCUUGCCAAAGCAAAACUGCUGCACGGGCGAUAGAAGUCUCUCUGUGCCGCCUCCUGAAACAAGGGAGAGCCCUUCCAGUUUCACAGUUCUUGCUCCUGCUCUCAUUGAAAAUGCUGCAAAAAUCUCCUGCUUGCUCACGUGCUAAACAGACCUUUCCAUGGGCAGAUUCAGUGCUGCUGCAUCUACAGGUUGGUGAAAUGGCCAGGAAAAGUUGUGUCUCCACAUGGCUCUCAUGACAACCCUCUGUCCUGCUGUUCUGUUCCUUCUUAUAGGAGGACUACUGAAAUGGAAACAAAGAUCUCUGCUGGAAAAAAAGCCAUUCUCUGUAUGUUUGAAGAAACUGGUUCUGGAUCUCUGAUAGUAGUGGAGCUGGUCACAAUACCAUAGUAACAGUUGCUUUGCAGUUUCACUUUUGACAGCAUUUAAUUCCUUGCCAUAGUGGAUGUGGUUAAAAGGCUUGCUUGUGGAAUUCAGUGGUUUUCUCUUCAGGGAUCUGAACUCCAUCCCAUACAAUGAAAUAAAACUGUGGUUGAAUAUUUUUAAGAAGUAAAAUUUGAAGAAGUAAAACCAUUUACGAAAUAAUGGUCAGCAUAAGACAAUAUCUCCUCUGGUGUAUUUAGCUCACACAUACAAGUAUGGAUAUGUAAGGUUCCAGUUCUAAUGGAAGAGUCACUUGUGUUUUGUUUGAGAGAAGAAAGAAGACUGGGGAGAAGGAUUCUACAAUCCCUUCAUGGACAGUCAGUGAAGUUCUCCCAAGCAAAGGGCCAGUACAAAUCUUGGACACAACAAGGAGUCGAAAUAGGAAGGGAGAAGGGCAGAGCAGUACAUGAAAGCUAUUUCUCUACAUUGGCAUGGAUUUUGAUACUUAGAAGCAAAGACCUGGAAAUGUGUUGUAAACUUGCAUUCCCUUUGAAUGUGAACAUCUUAGAAUAGUAUCAGAUGCAUGUAUUUGGCAGGUAGCAAGUGCUAGUGCUGUCAGUGCUCUGCAGUAUCUUACCUGUCAGUUUCUCUUGCCCAUGUGUGUCCUUUGAGGUAUUUGGGAUAUGCCUCGUUCAGCAUUUUAGGUUGGACCAGGAGCAGGCUUUGGAAAUGAAUCUCCUGGUCAUUCCCACAUGUGCAGCUUUGGUUUUCAGGGUGGUUUACAGUGUCAGAGCACACAAAUGGGAUUACCUCCUGAGUAAAAUUAAACUGGGACCCAGGACCUAACAUGCUCCAGCAACUAAUGGACAUGCAGUCCACACUGGAACUGGUUGGAAAUAAAUUCCAAUAAGCUGUGUCUAGUGUAGAUACCAGACUCCCAACACAUGUGAUUUUGUUCUGUAGAUCCCUUCCUAGUGUACCUGGUAAUUGUUAAUGGAUUAACUGUUAAUUGUUAAUCACAGCCUGAUCAUUAACAGGUCUUGCUUUAAAAAAAAAUGAUUAUGGGAAUCUGUUCUUGUAUCUUCUAUUUCUUCUGGAAUUAAUUACUGUUCAUUAACAAAGUGGUUGGUCUAUUCCAUGGGAGAAACAGGAUGAGACAGAUGGAGGCCAGCCAGUGUUCUUUAGCAUGAGGCCUUUCUCACCCUCAUAGUGAUAGUUUUGUGGUUUGCACAUUAGGAACAGUUUUCAAUGUAGUUAACUAUUCUGCUUCUGUUGCCUCUUGGUAUCUAAAUAUUUUGGCGUCUAAAUAUCUAGAUAUUGAAUUAAUCUGAAAAAAUGUGUUCUUUAUCUGUGAGAUAACAAAAAACUCUCUGGUUUAUAGUUUUUUCUAUCUCUCUGUGUGUACUUGUAUAGAUCAGUAUAUUUUCUAGGGUAGGCAAAGUUUUCCUUCCAUGUUCUAAAAAGAGCACAUUGUAUAAAAAUAGUUUGUAGAUUUUUCCAUUUUUUCUUCCC